rnacentral:rRNA from 1 species
AACGAACGCUGGCGGCAGGCUUAACACAUGCAAGUCGAGCGCCCCGCAAGGGGAGCGGCAGACGGGUGAGUAACGCGUGGGAAUCUACCCAUCCCUACGGAAUAGCUCCGGGAAACUGGAAUUAAUACCGUAUACGCCCUACGGGGGAAAGAUUUAUCGGGGAUGGAUGAGCCCGCGUUGGAUUAGCUAGUUGGUGGGGUAAAGGCCUACCAAGGCGACGAUCCAUAGCUGGUCUGAGAGGAUGAUCAGCCACAUUGGGACUGGGACACCGCCCAAACCCCUACGGGAGGGAGGCAGGGGGAAAAAUGGAAAAAGGGGGCAACCCUGAUCCAGCCAUGCCGCGUGAGUGAUGAAGGCCUUAGGGUUGUAAAGCUCUUUCACCGGGGAAGAUAAUGACGGUACCCGGAGAAGAAGCCCCGGCUAACUACGUGCCAGCCGCCGCAGUAA